AAUUUCAACUAAAAAAGUCAUGAACAGAAAACUUGUAGAACUCAUCAAGAUAUACUACUUUUAUUUUGGUCAAUUCUUCAUACGACAAAGUGAUAAUAACAUUGUUCACAAAAUUUAGAUAUCACCCCUAUAGCUUAUAAAAUCAUAUCAGAGAUAUGUAAAAUUCGUGAACAAUAUUACUAUCACUUUGUCGGAUGAAGAAAUGACCAAAAUAAAAGUUAUAGAUCUUGAUGAGUUAUACAACUUUGUUGUUGAAGACUCUUUCAGAUGAAAUC
rnacentral:pre_miRNA from 1 species